UUGCAAAAUGAGUUCGGCUACAAAAAAGAACAGUAUUGGAGACAGUCUUGGUUACGGUACUACUUAUUAUAGCUCGCAGAAUUCUUCAGAUGGCUCAAGUUCAAAGGGAACUAAGGUUAUCGGAGACAGCCUUGGUUAUGGUUCUACAUAUAAUUCACAGAGUUCUUCAAAGAAUUCAACUUCAAAGGGACCAAAUAAGGUCAUCGGAGACAGUCUUGGUUAUGGUUCUUAAAAUGAUGAUUACUGUUUCAUGUAGAAAGGGACCUAUGCGGGAACUGGAAGAAAAGAUUACUGUGUGGAAAAUUCCAUCAUGUCUUAAAUUAUUUUUGUAAAAUUUAUUCAUGUCUUAUUUUUGUAUGAAACAAGAAUGUAUCUAGUAAUCUCCAGAUCUAUUUGCAGCAUGGCAGUUUGAGAAUCU